GUCUUCUUGCUAUAUUUAGGAAGUCUGGCCUGCCCAGUGAAAUUAAUUUAACGGCCGCGGUAUACUGACCGUGCAAAGGUAGCAUAAUCAUUAGUCUUUUAAUAGAGGGCUGGUAUGAAGGGUUUAACGAGGUGUUGACUGUCUCAUUUAAUUUGAAUAUUAGAAUUUAAUUUUUUAGUUAAAAAGCUAAAAUACUAUUGGAAGACGAGAAGACCCUAUAGAGCUUUAUAUUUUUAUUAUUAAUUUAUUAUAGAUUAUUAUUAUUUAUUAUUAAUAAAAAGUAUUUUGUUGGGGUGACAAAAAUAUAUAAUCAACUUUUUUAUUUUAUUUACAUUGAUAUAUGAAUAUUAGAUCCAAUCUUAUUGAUUGUUAGAUUAAGUUACCUUAGGGAUAACAGCGUAAUCCCUCUCCAGAGUUCAUAUUUACAGAGGGGCUUGCGACCUCGAUGUUGGAUUAAGAUAAUAAUUAGGUGCAGCCGCUUAAUUAAUAGGUCUGUUCGACCUUUAAAUUCUU
rnacentral:rRNA from 1 species